AUUGAACGCUGGCGGCAGGCCUAACACAUGCAAGUCGAGCGGAGCGGCAGACGGGUGCGUAAUACCUAGGACUCUGCAUGGUAGUGGGGGAUAACGUUCGGAAACGGACGCUAAUACCGAUUACUAUCAGCAGAGCCUAGGGCGGAUUAGCUAGUUGGGGAGGUAAUGGCUCACCAAGGCUACGAUCCGUAACUGGUCUGAGAGGAUGAUCAGUAACACGGGAACUGAGACACGGUCCAGACUCCGACGGGAGGCAGCAGUGGGGAAGAUUGGACAAUGGGCGAAAGCCUGAUGCAGCCAUGCCGCGUGUGUGAAGAAGGCCUUCGGGUGGUAAAGCACUUUAAGUGGGGAGGCGUUACCGGCAGAAUAAGCACCGGCUAACUCUGUGCCAGCAGCCGCGGUAAUAC
rnacentral:rRNA from 1 species